GAGCAGCCAGGACUCAAACCGGCACCCAUAUGAGAUGCCAGCACUGCAGGCAAUGGCUUUACCUGCUGUGCCACAGUGCCUGUCCCAGUCUCAUUUGGUUUCAUUACACCUUCAUAAUAGACAGAAAGAUUUUAUUCCUAUCAUGCUCAGCUGUAAAGACUAAAACAGAGAAGGGCAAAAAUUAUUCAGAAAAGCUAGUGACAGAAGGGUCAAACGUAAACUAGCAACAGAAUCCCAAAGUCCUUAAUGGCAUAUCCAAAAGCCCAACAGUUGGGAUUUAUCUAGAUGUCUUAAAAUGUCUUUGGUCUUAGAUUUAUAUAAACUGUCGAGUAUUACCUUUGCUAUCGGAAUUAUGUCUCAAUGAUAACUGAUGGUCAACACAUGUAAUAGUAAAAUAAAAAUGUGUACAAGUUAGGCGUUUGGUGCAGCAGGUAGGAAUCUGCUUGGGAUGUUCAUAUUCCAAUUCCAUAGUAGUGUCUAGGUUACAGGCAUUUGGGAAAUGAGACAACUGAUGGGAGAUAUUUAUCUGUCUCUCACUCUGUUCCACUGCCUGCAAAUUAAUGAAAUACAUAAAUAAAAACAAUUUUUAAAAAAGUAUACAAAUGCUAGUUAACUUGACGACUCCUAAAAGUUCUAAGUUAUAAUCAGAUCUAGUGGGUAAGACUCAGAAAGUUCCCAGCAAAUUUGGGCCAAAUUACAAAGGAGAAAAAGAUGAUUGAAAAGAAAAAUACUAAGGGACAGUUUUAUCUUUCCAUUUUUUUUUUCUAAUUUUGUGUUUGGAAAAAUUUUAUUGGUUCCUCUAUUAACCCUUACUUUUGAAAAGUAUAUAGAAUUGUAUAAUAUAAAAUACAACACAGUGAGCAUGACUUAUUAAAAUAAAUUAAAUAUUACUAAUACUGAUAUAAAACAACUUAUUAAGAAAAAAUGAAUAAUUAUAAAAGAUUGAAAUGGGGGCUGGUGCUGUGGCAUAGUAGGCUAAGCCUCUGCCUGCAGCGCCAGCAUCCCAUAUUGUCGCUCCCGGUCUUCGUGGAGGAACAACACAGGACCCUGCGCUGUUCCUUUGUCUGCUCGGCCCUCCCCGGGAUUGCUGCUGGUUCUUCCCGGGUUGGCUACUGUCCCUUCCACCUCCGUGGAAGGGCGGUUCCCCCUGCCACAUCCCCACUUCCGCGGGGGAGCGGCACACCGCCAGCCGGCUCUCUCGGGGGCUGCACAGGUGUUCCUUCAGAUAGAUGUUCCCCUUAGAUGUUCCUGGUGCAUGUUGUCUCUCUCCUCCUUUAUAGUCCUUUUCCACCAAUCCCAACUCACACGCCGAGUACGCUGCUCUCCUCCAAUCAGGAGCAGGAUCAGCUCCUGGAGGUCAUCACUCAAGUUGGCAAGAGGCAGCUGCGUAGAAGCUGUUUCCUCCUCUUCCAGCGCCAUAUUGUGGGAGAGCAGAUGCAUAGAAUAAGUCUUAAUUCCAGUAACUUAGUCUAGUCCGAGUUGCUCCCCACACAUAUCAGCAUCGGUUCAUGUCUGGCUGCUCCACAUCCAAUCAAACUCUCUUGUAUGGCCUGGGAAACCAGUAGAAGAUGGCCCAAGUGCUUCAUCCAUUUCAUUUAUCAUAGUGAAUUAAGAAGCUCCUGGCUCCUGGCUUCAGAUCAGCUCAGCUCUGGCCAUUGGGCCAUUUGGAGAGUCAAAAGCGGAUGGAAGACCUCUCACUGUUCCUCCCUCUCUCUAUCUGUAACUCUGCCUCUCAAAUAAAUAAAUAAAAUCUUUUAAAAAAAGAUUUAAAUGGAUAUCUCUUGUCUGUGAUUUCAACUCCAUUUCCCACCCUUUUCCAAUAUAAUAAACUGAUGUUUUAUUCCUGGGAUCUGGGUUCUUUUUGUUUUCUGAACUUAUUUAACAAACACUUAUACAUUGUUUCAUAUGACUGGCAGGCACAGUUCUAAACACUUUACAAAAUUAACUUUUUUUUUUUUUUGACAGGCAGAAUGGACAGUGAGAGAGACAGAGAGACAGAGAGAAAGGUCUUCCAUUGCAGUUGGUUCACCCUCCAAUGGCUGCCGCGGCAGGCGCGCUGCGGCCGGUGCACCGCGCUGAUCCGAUGGCAGGAGCCAGGUACUUAUCCUGGUCUCCCAUGGGGUGCAGGGCCCAAGGACUUGGGCCAUCCUCCACUGCACUCCCUGGCCACAGCAGAGAGCUGGCCUGGAAGAGGGGCAACCGGGAGAGAAUCCAGCGCCCUGACCGGGACUAGAACCCGGUGUGCUGGCGCCGCAAGGCGGAGGAGUAGCCUAGUGAACUGCGGCGCCGGCUACAAAAUUAACUUUUAAUAUCUAUUGACACCCAACACAAUGACUAGUACUAUAAUCUCCAUUUUGGAAGAAAAUGAAACAGAGAGAAAUUACCCGAUUUUCCUGAGGUUGUAUAUCUAGUAAGGGAUGGAGCUGGGAAGUGAGGUGUCAUUAGCUGUCAGAGUAUCUGUGUUUUGUCCUACAAAGCCUAGCUCCUUCAAGAAGAGUGCUUAAUACAAGCUAAUGGUUUUUCUACCUGGUCAGCAUGAUGUCUUUCUACUUAAACAUCUACCCUAUUCUCUAGAAUUGCUGUUAAUGGCUAACUUCUAUUGCAACUACUUCAUUUUUUGUUCUAGUUGAAUCUAGUUCUAGUUGAAUCAAACUGAUACCUCCUUGGAGAAUGUGCUGUUCCUGCAUACUUUUCACUAUGGAGUGUCCAUCCUGUUCAUGGAGCAUGUAAUUCCUUAAAAGCUCAUUUGAAGGCACAAAAAGUGAUUCAACCCAGCAUUUAUCAAGCACCUAUUUUGUGUGAUGCACUUUGAUAUACAUGGUAAUAGAAAAUCUUUACUCAGGCUCUAGCACGCUACUAGAUGAUAUUGGGAAGAGGAAACAACACAGAUUGGUGCCCUCUUGCUAUGAAGGGCUUUGCAGGUCUCUCUCUUCUAGUAGCUCAGCAUGAACUUUAGCUUCUGCAGCGGGCUGUGAAUGAUGGUGCUUCAGGCUUGCUAGGCCUGGAACAUGUUGCCUAGUGGGAAGCAGGCUUCUUGUCUUCUUUUACUCCCAUUUGGCAAGGCUGCCUCAUUAUGUAAGGCUGCCACUGUUUAUCUGCACCAUAUUUAUGGUUUUUACAAGGCUUAUUCUAAGGUUUGGCAGAAAUGAAGGAAUAUUUUAUAAAGCAAAGCUUGUAGUGGGCAAGAGCUCAAAUGAAAUUUCUGCAGUAUAUCUUAAGUACCUUUAAAUUGUUCAUUCUAAGGUGAUUUAAUAUCUUUUUAUUUUUCUGAUUGGUCAUAUUCAUCAGAUUUAGGUGAGAAGUAAACACUUUAGGCCAAGGUCCUAUUACUACAUUGUAAUCCAAAGUUUAUUAUUAAAAAAAAAAAAAAACCAAAGUACAUCUAGUAUCCCCUGGAAACCUAACCAGCUUAAAGAAUAUUUACGUUCAUAUCAUUUUGGCAAGUUUUUCUAAACUCUCACAAUCAGAGAAGAAUUUAGUCUUUGGAAAGACCUCUCUUCAUUGACUAAUCCAAACCCCAUAAUAUAAUUUUUAAUGGCUUGUAGCUAACACCCGGAUGCUUAUGAAUGGGAGAUUACAUAAAGGUAUGUUUGGGGAGACAGUGAAGUGCCAAGUGUCUACUAAGAAUUAGUUCUUUAUUCAAACAUUAUUUUAUUGUUAGCUUCAUUGGACAUUUAUGCCUAACAGUUGCUACAUAAAUCUGGAAAUUAAUAAAACAGAACCUCAACACAAAAGAACAGUUACUUUAUACGUCGUUGUUCUAAAGCAGAUUUAAUGUCUCUGGGUAUAUAAGAAUGGUUUUAUGAGCAACCUCUUCUAUGGGCUAUUUCCAAAGCUACCUACUAUGUUUUGCACUUUAACAUACCUCUGAGUUAAAAUGUUUCUAUUUGACUAAACAUAUUUUAAAACGAGUAGUUCAUCCUUGCCUCUUGGUUUCAAUUUAGAAAAGUAAAUAUUUUCAUUUAAAGGAAUUAUAGCAUAUUAUAAUGAGUAAUUUUAAAAGUCCAAUCAAUUUUUGAAUUCUUUUUACAAGUUUGUCAUGCAAUAAAGUCAGCCUUUCAGAAUUUAUUAGAAAACACAAAAACAGGGGCCGGCAUUGUGGUAUAGUGAAUUAAGCUGCAGCCAGCGAUGCCAGCAUCACAUAUGGACCCUGGUUCGCGUUCUGGCUGCUCCACUGUUGUUCCAGCUCCCUGCUAAUGACUUGGGAGAGCAGCAGCAGAUGGCUCAAGUACCUGGGCUUCUGUCACCCAUGUGGGAGACCUGGAUGAAGCUCUCAGCUCUUGUCUUUAGCCUGGCUCAGCCCUGACCAUUGCAGACAUCUGGGGAGUGAACUAAUGGAUGGAAGAUCUCUCUCUCUCUCUCUCUCUGUAGCUCUGACUUUCAAAAUAAAUGAAUGAAUCUAAAAAAGAACACACAAAGAUCUUUCAAUUAUGAUGAAAUAAAGAUACGAAGACACCAGUUUUAGUAAAAAUGUAUCUAUAUCUAUCUAUAUAUAUCUACAUAUAUGUAUAUGUGUGUGUGUGCAUGUGUGUUCCCGAAAAUUGCUGGAAAUCUUCCCUUUUAUAAAUAAAAUCACAAUUUAAAUAUUUUCGAAGAGUUCCCUGUUUGGAAGGAAAAUGUAUCAAUCUUUGUAAGAAUCAUGUCUCAAAAUGAUUUUUUCCUGGAAAGCAGAGUAAAAUUUUUGUGCAAAAUUUGGUCAAUUUAGAAUCACUUUUUCAUUUUUUUUAAAAAAGAUUUAUUUACUUAUUUGAAAGGCAGAGUUAUAGAGAGGCAGAGGCAGAGGUGUUCCAUCCUCUGGCUCCGUCCUCAAAUGGGAGUACCAGGAGCCAGGAGCUUCUUCAGGGUCUCCUAUGCGGGCACAGGGGCCCAAGGACUUGGGCCAUCUUCUGCUUUCCCACACUGUAGCAGAGAGCUGUGUUGGAAGAGGAGGAGCUGGGAUUCCAGCACUGCAGGCAGCCGCUUUACCUGCUAUGCUAUGGCUCCAGCCCCUACAAUCACUUUUAAAACAAAGUAAUAUGAUGCAUUUGCAAUCACAAAACUUAUCAGUACAGAGCAAUUGUUUACUUUGAUGAAAGAAAUAGAGAAAAACUAGGUGAUGAUUUGCAAUUGUCUUUUUAAAAAAUCUUUAUUAUUUGUUUCAAAGGAAGAGAGACAGUCGGGGGAAAGUGAGAGAUAUCUUCCAUCUGCUGCUUCACUCCUCAAAUGCCCGCACCAGCCAAGGGGAAGGGGUCCUCAACUCCAUCCAGGUCUGCCGCAUGGAGGGCAGAGACCCAAGCUCUGGAGCCUCCAAGUGCUGCCUUCAGUAUGCAUUAGCACAAAGCCGGAUCAGAGUGGUGGAACAGGGACUAGAACCAGAUACUUCCAACAUGAGUUGUGGGUGUCCCAAGUUGUGGUUUAACCCACUGCACCACAAUAUCCACCCCUACAAUUGUCUUUUCAAGGCUAGUUAUCAAGAAUAUGUGAAUGCAAGAGGAAUUUUUAAAAUGGUGUAAGCAAAAUCCUAGUUCAAGACUGCACUGGUCUACUAACAGGCUUUGGUUACAUAGUCUUCUUUGCAUACAAAAUUAUAAACACAUUUCUCUUUUUGUAGCAUCUCAUGAAACACUUUCCAAGCAUGGUGGAAUUGUAAACUUCAUUAUCAUCAUGAUUUCUUUCUUUUCACAUCAUACCUCUUCACUCUCAGGUUUUCUUUUUAAUAUAUUUGUGUUUUUCUCCUUGUAGAUAAAUAAAUGGAAAACAUAGGCAGCAUAUAAGGUUGAAAACAAUUCUCAAGAACCAAUGGCUAGCUUAACAAUGGUAGAUGGAAUGAAAUAUUGAUAUUUGAUUUUUUGCAUUUUGUAUUUUCAGAAUUCACACCAUGGUUUACAUAUACAUUUGUGUGUAUGUGUUUUUUGUAUAUAUAUAACUGCUAUUUUUAAAAAUUUGCUUUGUAUUCAAAACAUUUUUUAAACACACAUGUCAAGUCUGAUACAAUCCCAUUAAAUUCUAACCCAAGAAAAUAUAGUGUGCCAGUAACUCAGUUGACAAGAAUCUAUGUUACAUUUUCACUUGCCAGACAUUGUAUUGGUGACUAGAGAUACCAAAUUAAUAGGGCAUGGACUUCAUCCUUAGCUCAGUGUAAUAGCAUGUGGAAUUAGGAGUGAGGACAAAAACUGUAAAUAAACUACAACACAAAAAUUAUGCACACAUAUACACAUUAUGGGUACAUAGGGAACACUGACAACUUAUAGAUGUAUAAUGAAUUAAGACAUAAUAUUAGACAUGGCAAGGUUGAGAAAGGGAAAUUGUAUAUAAUAAGAAUUUAGAAUCCACAGUAUGUCACAAACCAAACCUGAGCUAGCAAUGUAAGACCAUGAUAAAAAAUUAUGGCUCUAGAAUACAAAUGGAAAAGAAUAAUUAGUAAAUGUCGCUCCCCCUCUUCGUGGAGGAACGACACAGGACCCUGCGCUGUUCUUUCGUCUGCUCGGCCUUCCCCGGGUUUGCUGCUGGUUCUUCCCGGGUUGGCUACUAUCCCUUCCACCUCCGUGGAAGGGCAGUUCCCCCUGGCCACAUUCCCCACUUCCGCAGGGGAGCGGCACACCGCCGGCCGGCUUUCUCGGGGGCUGCACGGGUUCCCUUAGAUGUUCCCCAUAGAUGUUCCUCGUGCAUGCCGUCUCUCUCCUCCUUUAUAGUCCUCCUCCGCCAAUCCUAACUCGGCUGCCCACACGCCGAGUACGCUGCUCUCCUCCAAUCAAUAGCAAGUCCUACAGUUUAUUAGUUGAACUGGAGGCAGCUGUGCGGAAGCUGUUUACUUCUCUCCCAGCGCCAUAUUGUGGGAGAGCAGAUGCAUAGAAUAAGUCUUAAUUCCAGUAACUCAGUCUAGUCCGGUUGCUCCCCACAGUAAACAUGAGGUAAUUCUUUCAUGGAUAAACUUCUUAUCACAGUUUGUGUAGCUAAGAACUUUAUUUUACAUUUAUCACAGUGCUUUGUUUGGUUUUGGGUAUAACAAAUAACAUUUAGGGGCUGGCACUGUGGCUCAGAGGGUUAAUGCCCUGGCCUGAGGUGUCGGCAUCUCAUAUGGGUGCUGAUUCGGGACCCGCUGCUCCACUUCCAAUCUGGCUCUCUGCUGUGGCCUGGGAAAGCAGUGGAGGAUGGCCCAAAUCCUUGGGCACCUGAACCUGCGUGGGAGACCUGGAAGAAGCUCCUGGCUCCUGGCUUCCGAUCGGCACAGCUCUGGCCAUUGUGGCCACUUGGGGAGUCAACCAAUGGUUGGAAGAUCUCUCUCUCUCUCUGUGUAACUCUGACUUUCAAAUAAAUAAAUAAAAUCUUAAAAAAAAACAAAAAACAAAAACAAAUAACAUUUAAAGAACCUGAAUUAGCUAUGAAGAGAAAAGGAAUAUAGAUGCAUUCAAAUAUGAGGAAAGUCUACCUGGUCAGAAAUGCUUACAUAAAUUACAGUUAUCCAUUUUAGAGAAGGAGCUAGUAGAAUGAAUAACAGAAACUUUAAAGACACGUGACAGCUGUAUCUACUUUAUAAAGCAACAGCGGGCCAGGCACUGUGGUGUAGCAGAUAAAAGAUAAAACUGCCGCCUGUGGUGCCAGCAUCCCAUAUGAGCACUGGUGGUUCAUGUCUUGGCUGCUCCUCUUCCAAUCCAGCUCUCUGCUAUGGCCUCAGAAAGCAGUGGAAGACAACCCAAGUGCUUGGGAGCCUGCACCCAUGUGGGAGACUGGGAAGAAGCUUCAGGCUCCUGGCUGUGGAUCGGCUCUACUCCAGAUCGGCUUAGCUCCAGCCAUUGUGGCCGUUUGGAAAGUGAACCAGUGGAUGGAAGAUCUCUCUCCACCUCUUCUUCUCUCUGUCUGUAACUCUGCCUCUCAAAUAAAUAAAUACAUCUUUAAAAAAAAAAAGGAAACAACAAUAACUUUCCCUUAAUAUGAUUGGAACAGAGAAAAGGCGAAGUCUGGGGAGCCCAGGAGGACGCAGAAGUUAAUGCUGGUUGUUAGUAAGUAUUCUGGAAGGAACCGUGGGAGUCCCUGGAGAAGCACAGCAACAACAAUUAAAGUUGGGAAAUAGUCCUGGGAUAAAAGGCUAAAAUAACAACGUAGUUUCAGUCAGAGGAGAAAAAGCUGCACUUGUUUCACACAACUAAAGAGACAAAAGGGCACCUCAUCUGUUCCUCUGCCUCCUCCUUCGUGUCAGUUACAUUAUGGUGAUAAUGAAGCAGUCCCACACCGAGGCCAGAUAUAGCACAUUGAGAUGAAAUGUCUUAUGGAUUUCAUGUUCCAUAUUUUUCCUUAGACAGAAAUGUGGGAGAUGCGGUCGAAAUGAAUGGUUCUAUCUGCACUUUAGUGAGAAAUUCAACAUGUUUCACUGAGGGUGAAGUUACAGUUCUAUCCAUAUGGCUCUUCUGAUAAUGCCAGAACCAAGAGGGAUGGGGCAAGACCAGGGAAGCCUGGCCAUGGAUUGGUCUUCAUAUUACUGUAAGUUUUGUAUUCCUCCCUGGUUUUUUCCCCAGAGCAAAAUAUUAGCCUGGUUUAUAUUGGUAAAUUAUGAGGUCUAUAAAGAGGAAGGAUCUUUUCUUAAAAUUGACUCCAUAAAAGUUAUUGAAACGUUUUGGCAAGGGGUAGCUAUUUUUUGCACACCAAGAGAUAGAAUAUACUGCGUCUAUAGAAGAAAGUUAUAUUGACCUUAGCUGAGAACUUUCUAUGCCUAAGGACUAUGGGAACAUGGGAAUAAAUUUGAAAAGAUUGCAAAAUUUGAUAAAAUCUAUUUUCCAAGAAACCUUAAUGAUAAAAAUCAAAGAAAAAUCUACUUAAGCUGAUUGAAAUGGGUCCUCAUACAUACAUUCUAGUUCUUACAAAUUGCUAGAGCUUGCUGAGUAACACCAAUGCUUCAGGCAGGUUUGGGUAUAAAACACUGGCUUCUUGAGUUCCUACCUCCUCUCACAGGGAUUGAAGGACGUAACUGAGAACCAGGGCUUGGGACCUGAAGGAAAGCUGGCCUAGGAUUGUCUGAUCGCUGAAACAUGGAAAUCAGGUUUCUAGAAUUUGAAAUCUGACAUUUAAAUAAGUCAGGGGCAAGCCUGUGGCAGAAAGGGUACACUUUAAACCUUUCAAAUUACAAUAGACACGUAAGUGGGACAAACUAUGAAUGUUGGCUGGGGCCCAGUCUCAUCUGUGAGGAUACCCAUUUGUGAUGUUUGUUUAGACUCGCUCCUCUCUCAAGGGAGGAUUGAAAGGUUGGACCCUCAUAGGACCUUGCAACUAAAUGCAUUUCCACAGCCAGUGACUUUUAAAAAGUUUUCUUUAUCUUUACAAGUCCCCAGUAGCACACUCUUUGGGUCUCACACAUCGAAUUCUGCUGGAGAAGAGGAAGAGGAGAUUGGUACCAGUUCUGAAACCGGGGCUUUUUUUCUUCAUAUCCACGCCGUGUUCUGGCAUCAGACAAAAAUCCUGUGGAAAGGAAAAAGAAUUACUCUCUUCUCCUAGUGUUUUUGAAAAAUGAAUAGAAAGAAAUUUUGCAACUCCUCCUAACUGAACAAUAAGUGUUUUGACUAUGGAUUUGAAAGAAAAUCAUCGGAUUGACUAAGAUUCCAAAAUGAUGCAAGUCUUCACCACUAAAGGCACAUUAGCAGAGAACUGGAUGGGAAGUGGAGAAGCCAGGACUCGAACCGGCGCCAAUAUGGGAUGCCUGAACGACAGAUGGUGGCUUUACCUGGUACGUCACAGUGCUGGACCUCCAAAUUUUCUUUAUUAGCCUGAAUAUAACUUGAAGUGUAAUUUUCAGCCACUCUUUUGAUUUCUCUCAAGUAUUCUGUUUCUGGAAUAGGCUUUAAGUUAUAUCAUGAGAUGAUAAUUCUUGAGAAUCAAAUUACUAGCUUCCUAAAAGCACUUUAUUUUUCUGCGCACAAUUUUUAAAGAACAAAAACCUAUAAUGACAAAGCAGUCGCAGGUGGUGAACAUGCUUGUAAAAGUAAUUUCCAAAGCACAUUCUGGGGUCAGUGGCUUAUCUAAUUCAACUCCUUCAGCUAAGAGAAUAACAUGAAAAUUGUUGCAAGAGAUUAUGGACGUUUGACUACACGACAUAGUUGAAAAUCAAAGAUGGCUAAGGAAAGUGUGCCUUUACGUUAACUUGACAGAUGUUUGAAGGCAAGAACCUGCUCUCACUUCACCCUCCAUGUUUCAGAAAGCCCUUGAGUGCCGCACAGGCGAUGUGGAAAUACCCUGAUUACCUAGCUUUGAGGCUUUCCACACGUAGGAGCAUCGGUCAAAUAGGACUGCUAAUAAAUAUGAACACAUAAAAUAAGGAUUUAUUAUAGGAGCUUGAUCUUAGAAAACAACUGUGGGUAUUAUUUACAAAAUCUAUGUGAAGCUCUUGUUUCUGUGUCUGGUGUGGAGUCUGAAGUUCACAUAAAAGGCAAUCCCAAGGGUGAGAUGGACAUGAAGUGGGGGAAGCAAAGAAAAGCAGGGACCUGUGAAACUAAGGUGGAAACCACAGGAAGGACUAGAACUCCUGUCUGUCUCUGUCUCUGCCUCCAAACCUCUAACUUCUUGGGUGGGAAACUUUCGAAGAAAAACUGGGGUCCUUUGCCUGGGAGCUAAACAUGCACUUGACUCGGAAGCCUGAGAAGCUGAGUCGGAAGACCCAGCGGGAGCCUUCAGCGCUCACUGCCCAGCUGCUGCACCACACCAAUCCUGUGAGUUUAGCAGGUAAGUGCCGGUGUGUGUGAAUUGCAACAGUGCCUUGUUCCCUGGAAUGACUUCCUGAGGAAUGUGUUUGCCCCUUUCAAAUCUUGUGCAAAAUGUUCUUUGUGGCUCAUGUUAAUUCUAAACUAUGCCAAGAAAGGCAGGUAUAAAAAUUGAAGUUCCAAUUUAACUAAGUUGACAUAAUAUAAAUCCAUCACAGUCUAACCUUUGUGUACAUGGCAUUCAAUACAUAUCCUUUAACAAUGAUAACAUCCAAAUGAAGAUAAUAGAAGAAUGCUUCCACCUAAUACAACCUAAUUAGGCCUUAAACAAUUAUAAACAUACUAACACUCCCCCAAUGAAGAUAGCAAAUCCCUUUAUCUUUUGGUGAUUUUCAUUCUUUUCUAGCUGAGUCACAUUUGUCCUUUGAAACAAAAUAACUUACAUAUGGACCGUAACGUUAAAUACUGUUCAAUCCCAAAGUUCUUGCAGUAUAUUAUGUUUCAUCACCUUGGAAGCGCUAAGAGAUUCCCCAGAGGAUCUUCUAUCUUCCCAACUUAUUGCUUCCUCCCAUCAUUCUGAAGUAGUAAUUUAUUUUCUUCUUGAUAUUAGCAUUGGUCAACUCAACCACUGUACGUUGAUUCCCUGAUGUAAGAAGUUUAAAAACUGGUAAAAGUCUAACUUUCCAGUGCAAUGGUAUCACUGCCGUGUCUCACUGAUGGCAGCCUUCCUCCUUUGGUAGUUAAGACCUCCCUUCAGGCAAAAAAGAUCAAAGUGCAAAUUUUUUAUUAGUAGAUCAUUAGUGGUAAAGAAUCAGUCCAUUUGUACCUAUUGAUUUCCAGACCCCUGAGUCGUGACCAGGGGAGAAACAGAAUCAUAUUUGUACUAGUGUCUGAGAAUUCUCACAUAUACUCUGUUCCAGAGACCCUUACCAUCCUGCAAGGACUUGCUACCCUGCUGCCAUCAAAACCCAAACUUCAAAAAUCCAUUCCACUAUUUGUCCAGCAAACCACUUCAGAGUGACAGGGAAUAUGAUAAGACCACUAAAUUCCAUGAGCAUAAGCUUACUGCUAUAUUUUACAGGUUGCCAAAUGAUUUUCUUAGUCAGACCUAAAGUUUAGAACAUUUUUAUGUUUGAGGACGAUUGGGCAGCCCAAGAGGUGACUUAACUGCUGAGCCAAAUGCUAGGCACUUGGCUCAAGAUAGAGAUACUAGGGCGGUCCAGCCGAAGCUGGAGAUGCUGUUGGCCCAGCUGCUGCCUCUUGCCAUUCCGUAAGGCCACAGAUAAACACAGGUCUGCAUAAGAUAGGGGCUGGAGUCGUGAUGCAGUGGGGUUAAGCUACUGCUCGUGAUGCCAUCAUUCCAUGUGGGAGUGUCAUUAGAGUCCCAGUUACUCUGCUUCUGAUCCUGCUUCUUGCUAAUGUACCCGAGAAAGCAGCAGAAUAUGGCCCAAGUUCUUGGGUCCCUGCCACCCUGUGAGAAACCAGAAGUUUCUGGCUCCUAGCUCUAACCAUGUUGUUGCAGCCAUGUGGGGAAUGAAUCAGAAGAAGGAAGACUUCUGUCUCUCUCUCUCUGUCAUUCUGUUUUUUUUUAAUACUACUAAUAAUAUUAAUCAUAGAUAUGCAUAAAAUUCAUCAAGCCCUUGCUGACCUUGUGAAUGUAAGGGAAUACAGUCAGUCUUUUUCUUCUGGCUUUCUGUGCAAAAUAUUUCUUGUGUACCAUGAUAACUAAGAAUAAGUAGAGAAAAAAAUUCUGGGGAAUGUAGUUCCAGUUUAUCCAAGUUGAUGCAAGUCAAACUCUUAGCACCAGAAUGGCUUUGAUCCCAGCUGUAGACAUAACAAACAUGUUUCAGAGCAAGAAAGCCCAGAAUGCCUAACACAAAGAAAAUAUUUGUAAAGAGAAGGAAGCUCAAACAAGAAUUUCUUCCCAUCUAUUUCAUCAACAAGAAAAGAAAAUUGCUAUGGUGGGCUGGUGAAGUUCAGAAAAUUCUACAUUUGUGGGGUGAAAGCCAAGAGAGCAGCAGAAACAGCUGAAGACAGAACAGCUAAGGAAAAGAGGAAAAACAGACGCGAUGUGGUGGAGACAGCAAGCAGAGGUGUGUGCCCAGAAGCAGCAGCCACUGGUGAUGAGCAACAAGCAGCACCUGUCAACAGAGAAGCGUGGCAGUGACCAGAAGUCAGAAAAAGAACAGUUUUUCUCACUGGGCAAAUGUCUUUUGGGCCUCAUUUGGUUGUCCCUGGAGGGAAGGCGUAUGGGAUCCUCAUUCUUAUUAUGUGUUACAACAGCAGCAAGGAACUGUGUUCAGGAUCCUUGUUACACACAUGGCACUAAUGAAAAGUAAAAUUUACUUGUUUGAAACUACUCCCUCCUCAAUAUUCCAGCUUAAAUAGUUUUAUUAGAAUUUGGCUAGCUUCAAUCUGUUUCUUUUCAUAUCCAUAAUAAUAGCUAUCAUAAUUAAUUUAUUAGUGUAAAAAAGAACACUUAUAUACACCACCUUAUAAAUGGCAUUUUAAAAGUCACAUAGAAUUUUUGCUCCAUCUUUUGGUUGCAUUUGAGCCAAACUGUCUCAAAAAUUUUAGUGAAUUUGCAUAUCAUAAAGCAGUGUAUCUCCUUCAAAGAGUCCAAGGAACUCAAAACAUCUUUUUUUGUUUGUUUUUAUUUAUUUAUUUGAAAGGCAGAGUCACAGAGAGAGAGAGAAGGAGAGGCAGAGACAGCUUCCAUCCACUGGUUCACUCCCCAGAUGGCUGCAACGGCCGGAGCUGGGCAAGACUGAAACCGGGAGCUAGGAGCUUCAUCUGGGUCUCCCAUGUGGGUGGCAGGGAACCAAGCACUUAAGCGAUGUUCCUCGGCUUUCUCAUGCACAUUAUCAAGGAGCUGUACUGGAAGUGGAACAGCCAGGACUGGAACUGAUGCCCCUAUGGGAUGCCAGCAUCAUAGGUGUCAGUUUAAUCCACUGUGCCACAACGCUGGCCCCUCAUACCUUUUUGAAAAUUACAUGAUAUAAAGGUACUAAUACUUACUAAUUUAAUUUUUAAAGAAUUUUUAAAGUUUCUUUUAAACAUUACUCUAAAAUCCAAAUCUUUUAAUUCAAAGAAAAAUCCUGCAGCAAACAUCAGCAAUAUUGUAAGCUCCUCGUUAGAAAAUCGUCGCUGCAUUUUCCUCAGAUACGUGAGUUAGUCAAGACUCAGGGAGGGGAAUGAUCGUUAACUAAAUACAGGGAGAUCAGUUAGACCAGAGUCCAGAUCUCAGUCACCUGGGAGUAGUGGGACACUAGACGAGACUCUUGACUCCACUUAAACCUAUCUUCUUCAUCUGUUAAAUAAAGAAUCCUCGUAGUUAUCUCAUAAAGUUGUAAUAAAGAUUAAACACAGUUUAUGUCUGAUGCAAUACAUACUAGAUGCUAUUAUUAGCAGCAUAUAAUUGAGAAAAAUCCAUAAAAUCACUCCAAGUUAGUGUCCAUUUUAAGAAUUUUCAUUCUAGUUGAUAAUUCUCAUAUUAGAGGAAAAUUUGGAGUUUUUUUAAUUUAAAGAUUUAUUUUUUAUUUAUUUGAAAGGCAGUUAUGGAGAAAGGGUGGAGAGAGACAAAGAGAGAGCUAUCUCCAGUCCUCUAGUUCUCUCCGCAGAUGCCUGCAACAGCUAGUACUGGGCCAUGCCAAAGCCAGGAGCCCAGAACUCAAUCUCACCUGGCUGGCAGGGACCCACUUCCUUAGGUUGUCAUUGCUGCCUCCCAGGGUACGUGUUAACAGGAAACUGUAACCUGGAGUGAGCUGGGACUCAAAUGCUGGCCCUUUGGCAUGGGAGUCAGGCAUCCCAGAUAGUGGCUUGACCACUGCACCAAAUCCUCACUCUUUCCCCCAUAUUUUUAAUAAGAAAAAUAAAGCCAUUGCUUUAAAAUAGAGACGUGUGUAAACAUAACUUUUAAAAGUUGAAGUCCAUAACUGUGAAGUAUUUGAUAUCUGUGGAAAUUACUGACUGUUCUCCCUAAAUUUGUAAAGAUACUCAAAACAAUGGUAUAAAAAAUACUCUUUGGAACUAGAGGAAGAUUUAAGAGAAAGUGGGGAGAAAGGUAGAUAUGGGAAGGAACCAAGCUACGAAUAUUUUUACUUAUUUUUUAAAGUCGUUGCUUGUUAACCUUAUUCAUGUCAUCCUUACUACUAAUCCUAUCAUAGUUCACUGUACUCAUAAAAAUUACUCUGAAAAGUAUCAAAUAGUGUAUAGACUCAUUUAUGUGUAUUCUACUGAAAAUUUGUACCAUUUUCAAAAGGCAAUAGUUUAACAUUUUGAGAUGUGCUUUGAAAAUCUUCCCUUGGAAUGUUGCUUUAAAUCAACUUUCCAUUUAGCUUCCUUUUUUAAAAAAAAAAGAUUUAUUUAUUUGAAAGGUGAAUUAGAGAGAGAAAGAGAGAUUGAGAGAGAGAGAGAUAUCUUUCAUCUGCUGGUUCACUCCCCAAAUGGCCACAAUGGCUGGUGCUUAAUCAGGUGGAAGCCAGGAGCUUCUUCCAUGUCUCCUAAUGGGUGGCAGAGGCCCAAACACUUGGGCCAACUUCUGCUGCUUUCCUAGGAUGUUAGCAGGGAGCUGGAUUGGAAGUGGAACAGCUCUUGAACCAUAGUGCAGGUCCUUCCUUUCUAUUUUCUAUGUAUGUAUUUAUUGAUAAUCUAGAGUGUAUUUGUAGCAAUCAACAAAUUCAUGAAAAUGACAGAUUACAUUCUGCAGAAUGCUUAUGCUUUUCUAUCCUGAACCGGGUUUGUAUGUAUAAUUCUGGUCAACCACAGUGUAUCAUGACCUUGUUUAUAACACUUAAUGUGAAUUGUUUCAUAAAUAUUCUUUGUCCUUGUUUCUGUAUAAAUAGUCACUGCCACAGAUCUGUGGAAUUUUUGAAAAACAGUACCUACAUGAUGUGUUCCUAGAGCCUUGGCCAGAAUCACUCACAAUUAUUCUUAUCCUGAGAUCAUCUGGGAGAGAUUGUGCAGAUUGAGCCGUGGCCUGGGCUUGUCUGUCACCAAUUCCCUCCCUGUGUUUUUUCUGGUAGUAUAAAUGAGGGCAAAAAGAAAACUUUCAAUACACUCUAGUUAUCCCUGACAGCAUAGAUUUUCUGUAUUCAUUUGAUCUUUACUUAAAAAAAUUUAAUAACGUUAUUUUGAGAAAUUAGAUGUCCAUGAAAAAUUGGUAUCAAGGGAAUGAUGCAAUACAUUUCAAUGAGAUAAGAUCAUAAGCAAGCCCAUAGUGUCUCUAAGUAAAAACAACUGAUUAAUCAAGGUUAAAUUAAAUAUACCUGUCCACAAACAGCCCGAUUUUCGAGUUGGACUUCUUCACAUGUACAAUAAACUUGCUGUCAUCUGUAAAAUGGGGUAUUCUAUUAUUGUAGAUAAUGGAUUAUUCUGUAUAUUUCCAAGUUAGCCAUUAGAAAGUGUUUCAAGGGUCAUAGUUCUAAAAUAUAUUUUAGUUUCAUCUGCUUUGGUAAACAGAGUACAUUUAAGAUUAUUUAAUUUUGUUAUUAAAGACACAGAUUAUUGUUCUAUUCAUAGGAGAAAAAUUAUCUCAGUUUUCUUAUAUUAGAGAAUCUCAUUGAAUUGGUAUGGGUGAAAUCAGAAAAGGAAGGACUCAGAUUAUUGCUAGGAAAAUAAAAUGACAUUGAUGAACCUGUACAGUUGGCUGGCUGGGACUUUCAAGAGACUGUAGAGGAUUCCCAAUAACAUUUUACAUGGGAUUUUGCAGUACCUGGGGAGUUACAUCAUGUCAUUUUAUUUUAUCUGCUUGAUUUUGUUGCUUUUGUUGUUGUUGUGCCAUUCCUUUUUCUUUUUAAACAGGGCCAUGAAAGAUAUUUUUUAAAAGAUUUAUUUUUUUAUUUAUUUGGAAGGCAGAGAUACAGAAAGAGAGAGGGAGAGAGGGAGGGAGGGAAGAAAGGAGAGAGAGAGAGAGAGAGAGAGAGAGAAAGAGAGAGAGUCAAACCAAAACCAGGAGCCUGGAACUGCAUCUGGCUCUCCCACAUGGGUGGCAGGAGCCCAUGCAUGUGGGCCAUCUACCACUACUUUCCCAGGUGCAUUAGCAGGGAGCUGUAUUGAAAGUGGAAUGGCCAGGACUUGAACUGGUGAUCAUAUGGGAUGCUGGCAUUGCAGGCAGGGGCUUAAUGCAUUGGGCCACAACACUCAUGCCAUGAAAGUUAUUUAAAUCUGUGAUCUUCAUUCAUGAAAAAUAAUUCUCUGUAUAAAAUUUUACAUAAACACUAUCUUCUGCAAUCCUCAGCACUGUGUUAUGAGCUGUAACUUAACAAAAUACACUUUUGAAGCUCUGUGUAGGCCCAGAGAACUAAUUAUUUUGCUUUAGAUCAUGCAGCUAAUAAGGGCAAUCAGAGUACUUAAAUCCUGAUCUAACAACGUAGUCAAUAUUGCUUUCAUUACAUCACAAUGCAAAGGAAAAGCAAUUUUCUUCCAAGUCUUUUGCUUUGCUUGUGUAUUGUCAACAUUGCAGACUUCCAACUUUUUAUCUUUCUUUGCAUCAUCAAUUAUGAAGUUUUUAAGAAAUAUAUUUAUUUUAUUGAAAAGGCAGGCACUCCCUCUACACAAACACACACAGAAAUAGACAGUAGCUGAGACGGAGUUCCUGUCUGCUGGUUCAUUCUCCAAAUGCCCACAGCAGCCAGGGCUGGCCUGGGGCCAAAGCCAGAAGUCCAGAACUCAGUCUGGGUCUCUCACAUAAAUGACAAGGAUCCUACCAGUUGAGCCAACACCUACUGCCCUCAGUGUACACAUUAGGGGGAAACUGGAAUUGAGAGCAGAGCUAGGAUUGUAACCCAAGUACGCUGAUGUGAGAUGCUGGUGUCCCAACCACAUCCUGACCACUACACCAAAUACCUGCUCCCGGUUCCCAAGAUUUUCUUCUAAUUUUGAACUACAUCUUCACUCACAUCUAUGUGAUUGUGUACUUACUCAUUUUAUUGCUUUAGGAAGAAGAUUCUUGCUUUUGCAUUGCCCUACACACUACUUUUCUAAUUAUGCAUCUCUAUAGCUUUUGUGUGCCUACUUUUUAAGAAUUUAUGUUUAUUCAUUUACUUUCGCUUUAUUUGAAAAAGAGAGAGAUGGAGAGAUUUUCUAUUUGCUAUUUCACUUCUCAAAUACCUCCAGGAGUCAGGGCUGGGCCAGGCUGAAGCAAGAGCCAAGAGCCCUGAACUCAAUCUGGGUCUUCACAUGUGUGGCAGGGACCAAAGUGCUUGAGCCAUCACCUGCUGAGUGUACAUUAUCAGUAAGCCAGAUCAGAAGUGGGCAGUGGGAACUUGAACUAGUACUCUGAUAUAGACUGUGAGCUUCCCAAGUGACAUCUUAACCCCUGUUCCAAAUGUCCUCCCCUUUGUUUUAAAUACAGAGAUUAUCUUUAAAUGUUAUAUACAAAAAAAAAAAAAAAAACUGGAAGAAAUGAUUGUAUUUGGAGAAGUGAGUUGAGUGGCUGAGUGAGAAAGAGACCUCUUUUUCUUUGCAUAACUUUUGUUUCUUGUGAAUAUUGUACUAUUUGUGCAUUUUAAAAAAUUUUUCAUUUAAUUUUUUUUAGCUCAAGUUGUUAUUUAUUUUCUUAAGGGGGAAACAGAAUCCUUUAUGAUAAUGAAAAUAUACUUUAUUUUUUAAUACAAUAACUGCCAGCAAUAUACUGGUGUUGAUGUUCCAAAGACAGAAGAGGGAAAACAACAGCAUUUGACAGUAAGCUUUCCUCCGCCUAUUUGAGAAAUUCUAAAGAAAAUGUUCCAAUUCUGUUCAACAUUAGAGGUUGGGGAGUGAAAAUUUUUUUCCAUGAUAAAAAUAAAAGUUGGUGGCUCCAACCUUGCUCAUUUGUAGAGAAUGGCACUUGAAUGCUUUCCCCUCUCUGAAGUAAAUACUGAUUAUAAAUAACCAGUGUAAGAAAUUGGUGAAUUAAUAAACUGGAUGCAAUGCGUAUCAAAAUGCUUAUGAAAAAUAACUUGUAUUUCCUCGCAUUUUUACUUUGUAAAUAUUUUCUAAAGGAAUUUUUUUAAUGCACAGAAAUGAAAGCUAUCUACAACUCUGGAGAGACUGAAACCUUCCCAGAAGUAAAAAUGCCUAUGCUCUACAGCUAAUGCACUUAUUGUAAGGAUAAACGUUGUAAAUCUCUUAAUCGUAUACAGACUGCUCAAGGCUUUAAAGACAAUUUGUGAAAAUGAAGUUACCAAGAAAUAAAAUCUUAAAAUUGUAUUUGAAUAUUUAGCUGCAUCUACAUUUAAAAAAAGUUCUAUCAACUGGAAGAGUACAGAGUGUCCCAACUGCUAUACAAAGACAUUUCAGAAUCCCCUAAAAACGGUGAGCCCCUCCACGUAGACCCUGCCUCCCCGCUGAGGCCUAACCGGGUAGGGGUCAGUCCUGGGCACCUGGUUAGUUGCAGACAUCAAAUCCAGGCCACUUCCAAUUCGUCAGCCCACACCUUACAAGAAUUGCCAUGGAAACUUUUACAUCCCAAACCUCUUAAGAUUCUAGGUUAUGAUCUUUCUAGAAACACAUCAGUCUUUUUAGUAGCUUUGUCCAUUUGCCAAUCACUCAUUUGACUAACUUCCUAGAUAAAGCCUUAAAGAGAAAAAUAAAUCUGUCUUCAUCAAAAUCUUAAGAUUUGGCGUCCUUGGACACUCGCAGAGAGGCAGCCACACGUGACCACUGGAAACACAAAAACCAAGGGUCCGAGGCAGGACCGCCACACCUGGCUCAGGCUCCCCGGGGGAGCAAGGCGCUGCCGGCCACCGCCCACCGACACCACCAACGGCCCUUCUUUCAGCUGUUUCUCUCCGGCAGUGCCGGGGGCCCUGUGUGCGGGCCACGGCCACGGAAGGUCUCGUGGACAACAGCACAGUGGUCCUUCCGGGACCCAGGCCGAGCCUCGGCCACGGCUCCCUGCGCUGGAGCUGGAGCUCGGGAUUCGCACUGAGAAAGGGAAGGGUGCUCCCCAGCCGGCCCGCCGGCCCGCCGCGGCCCUUCCUCGGUCUCUGGGAGCUCAGUUACUGCCGGCUCACCGCAGGCUGGGCUCCGCAGCCCCGGCUUCCAGAAUCAGCACCGGCGCGGCCUCUUAAAGCAGUGAACUUACAUUUCCAAAAGAAAACCCGGUGAGGAAAUAGCACUUCUUCCACAAGUUGGAUACAAAAAUGACCCAAGGCCUACAGCAGUCGCGACCACAGUCUUAGGAGCAGUCUAUCUUGGAAAAAAAAAAUUAAUAAAUACGUAGUACAUAGUAAGUUUUAUUUUCACCAAGUUCAAUUUCCCUGUUAGAGCACAAAUAAUUCAUGGCUUAGGACUUCAGUUUAUAAGAAACAAAACAUGCUGACCAUGAUUCCCCCACGUGGCUGUAGACAAAUCUAACUCAAGGAAGUGCUGAUUGAGAUUCAGCCAGGCUGCAGAAAACACACACCGUGACGACUCCAAUUUAGCCCAAAAGGGCGGCCAGCCCUCCAUGCACAACCUAACGGGGACAGGGACGGGACCGGAUGGGAUGGGACGGGAAGGGAAACGCGAUCACCAAUGUUGAGCUUGCUGGUGCGGGGCAGAGAUUACACAUUUUCUCACUACGGACAUUACUUACACUUUAGAAACCAAAUUCACUUGUAUUUGUGCAUUUUAUCAAUUGAAAAAUUUUAAAAAUCUUUGUGCUGUGGAUAUAUGACUGAUAAAGAUUGUUAGAAACUGGUUGUAGUUUUAUAAAUUAAAAAAAGUGAAAAAGUCUUCACUCAUGACUGUGCUCUUUAUUCUCAGGGUCACUGUGAUACUAGAUUUCAUUAGGUGCCAGAUAAUCUAAAUU